CAUCAAAACCGUUCAGACGCAGCACGCGUCUCGUAAUAAAUAUCCAAUCAAUCAAUGACACAACUUUCAAAUGUUUUUUAUCGAAAAGAUAGUUUGGAAAGAAUUAAUUUAGCAUUUAACAUUGUUUCACGGCUGACAGAGAUGAAUAAAAUUAUUAUUUCCGUGAUGAAAAUCCUAAUAUAUUAAUUUAGUUAUACGAUAAAAAUUAUAUGAUACAUAAUUAAUGAGUUUCGAACUUGAAAUUUAUCGCAUAUGAGAGGUUGAGUUUCCAUUGAUCGAUUCAGGACUAAUUUAACCUCUAACCAAAUUAAAGUAUCAAGAUUAACUUGGAUCCGGAGCUUCGAAAUCUGGACCACGAUUGUGAAAAUUGGCGCGACAUUUAACAUGUGAAAAGCCGAAAUUAAUAGUAUGGCAUUAUGUAAGCGGGCUUUAAAUUAUUACUAACUGUGAUGCGAAACAACCCGACAUUUCCGUCGAUUCUAUGCGAAAAUGUGUAAACUCACAAUCGAUUUAUAUAACUUAUUAACAUUUCAACAUUCAAACAAUCAUUUUUUUUGAUUAAAAAAUCACAAUAUUUCGAUUUUAUAAAAAAUUAAUGUAUAUUUUAUACGCAUAGUGACGAUAUAUUAAGUCCUGUUUUCAAUGCUAUGAUUACAAAUAAGAAUUGUAUACCAAAAUAAUAUAAAUUGACAGAAAUAGAACCAUUUCAUUUCAUCUAAAAAAAAAUUUUAAUUGCCAAUUUAUAUUAAGUUAUACCAAAUUAAGUAUACCAAGUUUUUUAUGUUUUGACUUUUAGAAUAGACUCUUCCAAGAGUCCAUAAAUAUAUAUUAAGAUUCUUUAUAUUUUAUUCUCUAUAUUAUAUGUAUACUUCAUUCUUAAUAUAAUUGAACUAAUAAAAAUCAUAUUCGACCAAAU